rnacentral:rRNA from 1 species
AUGGGGGAUGCGUUCCAUUUAGGUAGUAGGGCGGGGGAACGGCCCACCUAACCUUCGAUGGAUAGGGGUUCUGAGAGGAAGGUCCCCCACAUUGGAACUGAGACACGGUCCAAACUCCUACGGGAGGCAGCAGUGAGGAAUAUUGGUCAAUGGGCGAGAGCCUGAACCAGCCAAGUAGCGUGAAGGAUGAAGGUCCUACGGAUUGUAAACUUCUUUUAUAAGGGAAUAAAACGCUCCACGUGUGGAGCCUUGUAUGUACCUUAUGAAUAAGCAUCGGCUAACUCCGUGCCAGCAGCCGCGGUAAUACGGAGGAUGCGAGCGUUAUCCGGAUUUAUUGGGUUUAAAGGGAGCGCAGACGGGAUGUUAAGUCAGCUGUGAAAGUUUGCGGCUCAACCGUAAAAUUGCAGUUGAUACUGGCGUUCUUGAGUGCAGUUGAGGUGUGAAAAAUUCGUGGUGUAGCGGUGAAAUGCUUAGAUAUCACGAAAAAGUCCGAUUG